AUUACUUAGCUUUCAUGGAAGGACAAAAGACUGCCUGGAAUCCUAUUGCUGAAAACUGGAUCAAUUUCUGAGAGAGAGAGCAGUGGGGAGAAAUGUCUGCCAAGAACAAUCUCUGUGUAUAUACAGACUUCUCAUCUGUUGUAAUCCCACCAUGGGUUUUUCCUUGGAAAGAAGUGAUAUGAAUCAUCAUUGGUCAGAUUUUCAUCUAGUCUGAUGUCUUGUGUAUUACCAGGAUACAGAGAGCUUCCUACAAAGAAAUGCUCCUCUCCACUGCCAAGGGCUUUGAAUACCUUUGGAAGAGGCAGAUCACACCUUAAUGACUGAAUAUUUCAAUCUAACUCAUCUGGUGAACUACCGAAAAAUUAAAUCUUCCUGUGUCUGUGUUUCUACAUAAGAUGAAGAUGUACACCUUCCUGAAAUAAGCACUCUGCUUAUAAAUAGCAUGGAUUGGAGGCAAAUUGAUGGA
rnacentral:lncRNA from 1 species